AUGAACGCUGGCGGCGUGCCUCAUACCUGCCAGUCGAGCGAACAGACGAGGAGCUUGCUCCUCUGACGUUAGCGGCGGACGGGUGAGUAACACGUGGAUAACCUACCUAUAAGACUGGGAUAACUUCGGGAGACCGGAGCUAAUACCGGAUAAUAUAUUGAACCGCAUGGUUCAAUAGUGAAAGACGGUUUUGCUGUCACUUAUAGAUGGAUCCGCGCCGCAUUAGCUAGUUGGUAAGGUAACGGCUUACCAAGGCAACGAUGCGUAGCCGACCUGAGAGGGUGAUCGGCCACACUGGAACUGAGACACGGUCCAGACUCCUACGGGAGGCAGCAGUAGGGAAUCUUCCGCAAUGGGCGAAAGCCUGACGGAGCAACGCCGCGUGAGUGAUGAAGGUCUUCGGAUCGUAAAACUCUGUUAUUAGGGAAGAACAAAUGUGUAAGUAACUAUGCACGUCUUGACGGUACCUAAUCAGAAAGCCACGGCUAACUACGUG
rnacentral:rRNA from 1 species